rnacentral:lncRNA from 1 species
AUGCACCACAAGCACGCCGUUCACAGAGACCUCAAGCACUAUUCCACUCUAGUUACUUCAACAUACAGUAUUAGCCAUGCAACCACCCCAGAUCGAAUCUGCUUCCCAAGAAGCACUGCCUGCGGCAGCACUUUCCAGGAUCAGCCAGGGGAGUGGCGAAGGGCAACUGAUAAUGGCCUCCCCGCCUCUCCCAGCCUGUCCCAUGAAGCCACACUAUUGCUCCAGACUCGAAGCUGAAGUUCCACUAUCGUUUUAGUAAAUUAACUUCAAAACUCAGAAAAGAGGAGGUCUAAGACUCUCCAGAGUGUCCAUGGCAACCGGCAUCACUCAAGACUAUGGCUGCCCUGUCAGCAUGGGGCCCAGAGUGAGCGGAGCAAAGCCCCUGGUAGACCCUUAAUGGCCCUGGAAUGUAAAUGAGAAAUAAACUUGGUUGUCACAAGCCACUGAGAUUUGGGGGCAGUUCGUCUGAGCACAGUAUAGCUUCCUUGACUGACAUAUGACCAUACCCUGAGCAUGUCUUUUCUGAGUUAUCCUUUCAGUCUGAUGUCAAUUUGGUAAAAAAGAGAUUUUUGCUGAAACAUUUCCUUGUCAUGCCUGUGUCUAGCUGAUACCCUCUACAGAAAAAAUAAAUAAAAUCAAUGUUAUCAGAAAUAGUUUAUGCAUAUUUAAGCAAAUUCAUACUUUUUCUCCUUUUCUGCAACACAAAUGAUUACAUGCUUUAUAUCCUGUUCUAUACCUUACUUUUUUUCACUUUAUAUUUUAGAAAUUAUUCUAUAACAGUACAUAU